AUACGGAUGGUGCGAGCGUUGUUCGGAAUUACUGGGCGUAAAGGGCGCGUAGGCGGCCCUGUAAGUCAGGUGUGAAAGCCCACGGCUCAACCGUGGAAGUGCAUCUGAAACUGCAAGGCUUGAGUACUGGAGGGGAGUGUGGAAUUCCUGGUGUAGAGGUGAAAUUCGUAGAUAUCAGGAGGAAUACCGGUGGCGAAGGCGACACUCUGGACAGAUACUGACGCUGAGGCGCGAAAGCGUGGGGAGCAAACAGGAUUAGAAACCCCGGUAGUCC
rnacentral:rRNA from 1 species